GAUGAACGCUGGCGGCGUGCCUAAUACAUGCCAGUCGAGCGAACAGACGAGGAGCUUGCUCCUCUGACGUUAGCGGCGGACGGGUGAGUAACACGUGGAUAACCUACCUAUAAGACUGGGAUAACUUCGGGAAACCGGAGCUAAUACCGGAUAAUAUUUUGAACCGCAUGGUUCAAAAGUGAAAGACGGUCUUGCUGUCACUUAUAGAUGGAUCCGCGCUGCAUUAGCUAGUUGGUAAGGUAACGGCUUACCAAGGCAACGAUGCAUAGCCGACCUGAGAGGGUGAUCGGCCACACUGGAACUGAGACACGGUCCAGACUCCUACGGGAGGCAGCAGUAGGGAAUCUUCCGCAAUGGGCGAAAGCCUGACGGAGCAACGCCGCGUGAGUGAUGAAGGUCUUCGGAUCGUAAAACUCUGUUAUUAGGGAAGAACAUAUGUGUAAGUAACUGUGCACAUCUUGACGGUACCUAAUCAGAAAGCCACGGCUAACUACGUG
rnacentral:rRNA from 1 species